GCGGGCGUGGCGAAACUGGCAGACGCGCAAGGUUCAGGUCCUUGUGGGGCUAAACACCCCGUGUAGGUUCAAGUCCUAUCGCCCGCA
rnacentral:tRNA from 1 species